rnacentral:rRNA from 1 species
AGAGUUUGAUCCUGGCUCAGGAUGAACGCUGGCGGCGUGCUUAACACAUGCAAGUCGAACGAAGCACUUUAUUACGAUUUCUUCGGAAUGACGAUUUAGUGACUGAGUGGCGGACGGGUGAGUAACGCGUGGGUAACCUGCCUUAUACAGGGGGAUAACAGUUAGAAAUGACUGCUAAUACCGCAUAAGCGCACAGGAUUGCAUGAUCUGGUGUGAAAAACUCCGGUGGUAUAAGAUGGACCCGCGUCUGAUUAGCUGGUUGGUGAGGUAACGGCCCACCAAGGCGACGAUCAGUAGCCGACCUGAGAGGGUGACCGGCCACAUUGGGACUGAGACACGGCCCAAACUCCUACGGGAGGCAGCAGUGGGGAAUAUUGCACAAUGGGGGAAACCCUGAUGCAGCGACGCCGCGUGAGUGAAGAAGUAUUUCGGUAUGUAAAGCUCUAUCAGCAGGGAAGAAAAUGACGGUACCUGACUAAGAAGCCCCGGCUAACUACGUGCCAGCAGCCGCGGUAAUACGUAGGGGGCAAGCGUUAUCCGGAUUUACUGGGUGUAAAGGGAGCGUAGACGGCGAAGCAAGUCUGAAGUGAAAACCCAGGGCUCAACCCUGGGACUGCUUUGGAAACUGUUUUGCUAGAGUGUCGGAGAGGUAAGUGGAAUUCCUAGUGUAGCGGUGAAAUGCGUAGAUAUUAGGAGGAACACCAGUGGCGAAGGCGGCUUACUGGACGAUAACUGACGCUGAGGCUCGAAAGCGUGGGGAGCAAACAGGAUUAGAUACCCUGGUAGUCCACGCCGUAAACG